rnacentral:miRNA from 1 species
UAUCCAGCUGUUUUUGGAUUACAACUCCCAUCUUCCCUAGCUAGCAGGACCAGUGGUCAGGGAUGAUGGGAACGGUAGUCCAGAAACAGCUGGAGA